rnacentral:rRNA from 1 species
GACGAACGCUGGCGGCGUGCUUAACACAUGCAAGUCGAACGGAAAGGCCCUGCUUUUGUGGGGUGCUCGAGUGGCGAACGGGUGAGUAACACGUGAGUAACCUGCCCUUGACUUUGGGAUAACUUCAGGAAACUGGGGCUAAUACCGGAUAGGAGCUCCUGCUGCAUGGUGGGGGUUGGAAAGUUUCGGCGGUUGGGGAUGGACUCGCGGCUUAUCAGCUUGUUGGUGGGGUAGUGGCUUACCAAGGCUUUGACGGGUAGCCGGCCUGAGAGGGUGACCGGCCACAUGAGGACUGAGAUACGGCCCAGACUCCUACGGGAGGCAGCAGUGGGGAAUAUUGCACAAUGGGCGGAAGCCUGAUGCAGCAACGCCGCGUGCGGGAUGACGGCCUUCGGGUUGUGAACCGCUUUCGCCUGUGACGAAGCGUGAGUGACGGUAAUGGGUAAAGAAGCACCGGCUAACUACGUG